AGCUUUAGAGUAAGAAAACCAACCAUAUAAGCAUUGCCAUUCCUCAGCCGAAUUGUAUCCAAGGCAUUGCAAUGAGUGAUACAGCAUAGCUAAAAGGGUAUUUGGGAAGAGAGUAAAGCCAAUGAACUGUCUGAGCAGAAACCACAAAGUCUAUCAGGAACCUUUCAUGGAGAAAGUGUAGGAUUGGGUUGCCAGCAUCGAGUUCUGUCCAGCACUGCCUCACAAACUUGCCGCUGUCUCUGGUGCAAGGCAGGGAGAAGCUGCCCUUGCAUUUAGAUGUACUCCUUGCUGUCUGCCUCUUGUCACGUGUCUCUGCCUGGCUGGGAGAAAAAGAGCAACCCAGAACCUUGGAACAAGCUGUGACCCGACGACCAGUACAAGGGAUGUCCGGAGCUGGUGAGGUUUUCCCCAAGUCCAAAGUCAUGAAGAGAACUGCAGGACAUCCCUAUUUACAUUGGAGAAAUGAAUGCGAAGUACUGGCAGUGAGCAAUGGACAAGGCCGUGGCCGUACCUGAGAGAAGGAACUUUGAAGGAAGACAGCAGGCGGACAUCUGCUGCAUUGCAAGUGAUGGGGCAGUGGGGAGAGAGAAGAAAAUGAGGGAGGAAACAUUAGGCCACAUUAGGCGCACUGUCCAUUGGAAGUGCUAUGAAGACGCUUUGAACAGGAAUGGCUUCUCCUCGGGGAUUCUGGGAACUGUAGGUGGUUAAGGGGACAGAGAGUUGUUAGGCGGGUUAGGCUUAGGUUUAGGCUUGGGGCUAGGGUUAGGGUUAGGCUUGGGGUAGGGGU